rnacentral:rRNA from 1 species
GACGUAGGGCGCGAGCGUUGUCCGGAUUUAUUGGGCGUAAAGAGCUCGUAGGCGGCCUGUCGCGUCUGCUGUGAAAACUCAGGGCUUAACCCUGAGCUUGCAGUGGGUACGGGCAGACUAGAGUGCGGUAGGGGAGACUGGAAUUCCUGGUGUAGCGGUGAAAUGCGCAGAUAUCAGGAGGAACACCGGUGGGCGAAGGCGGGUCUCUGGGCCGUAACUGAACGCUGGAGGAGCGAAAGCAUCGGGAGCGAACAGGAUUAG